rnacentral:rRNA from 1 species
AACGAACGCUGGCGGCAGGCUUAACACAUGCAAGUCGAACGAGAUCUUCGGAUCUAGUGGCAGACGGGUGAGGAACACGUGGGAACAUCCCUUUCAGUUCGGAAUAACGUUGGAAAACUAACGCUGAUACCGGAUACGUCCUUCGGGAGAAAGAUUUAUCGCUGAAAGAUUGGCCCGCGCCUGAUUAGCUAGUUGGUGAGGUAAUGGCUCACCAAGGCUACGAUCAGUAGCUGAUCUGAGAGGAUGAUCAGCCACAUUGGGACUGAGACACGGCCCAAACUCCUACGGGAGGCAGCAGUGGGGAAUAUUGGACAAUGGGCGCAAGCCUGAUCCAGCCAUGCCGCGUGAGUGAUGACGGCCUUCGGGUUGUAAAGCUCUUUUGUCCGGGAAGAUAAUGACUGUACCGGAAGAAUAAGCCCCGGCAAACUUCGUGCCAGCCGCCGCCGUAAAAC